UACGGGGGGAGCAAGCGUUGUUCGGAUUUACUGGGCGUAAAGGGCGCGUAGGCGGUCAGCACAAGUCAGUUGUGAAAUCUCCGGGCUUAACUCCGAAACUGCAUUCGAUACUGCCGUGCUUGAGGACUGGAGAGGAGACUGGAAUUUACGGUGUAGCGGUGAAAUGCGUAGAUAUCGUAAGGAAGACCAGUGGCGAAGGCGGGUCUCUGGACAGUUCCUGACGCUGAGGCACGAAGGUCAGGGGAGCAAACGGG
rnacentral:rRNA from 1 species